UGGGGAAUAUUGGGCAAUGGGCGAAAGCCUGACCCAGCAACGCCGCGUGAGUGAAGAAGGCUUUCGGGUUGUAAAGCUCUGUUGUUGAAGACGAAGGAAGUGACGGUACUCAACAAGGAAGCCCCGGCUAACUACGUGCC
rnacentral:rRNA from 1 species